UGCAAGUCGAACGCUGAAGCCCCAGCUUGCUGGGGUGGAUGAGUGGCGAACGGGUGAGUAACACGUGAGUAACCUUCCCUUGACUCUGGGAUAAGCCUGGGAAACCGGGUCUAAUACCGGAUGCGACCGUCCACCGCAUGGUGGGGGGUGGAAAGAUUUAUCGGUCUUGGAUGGACUCGCGGCCUAUCAGCUUGUUGGUGGGGUAAUGGCCCACCAAGGCGACGACGGGUAGCCGGCCUGAGAGGGUGACCGGCCACACUGGGACUGAGACACGGCCCAGACUCCUACGGGAGGCAGCAGUGGGGAAUAUUGCACAAUGGGCGCAAGCCUGAUGCAGCGACGCCGCGUGAGGGAUGACGGCCUUCGGGUUGUAAACCUCUUUCAGUAGGGAAGAAGCGAAAGUGACGGUACCUGCAGAAGAAGCGCCGGCUAACUACGUGCCAGCAGCCGCGGUAAUACGUAGGGCGCGAGCGUUAUCCGGAAUUAUUGGGCGUAAAGAGCUCGUAGGCGGUUUGUCGCGUCUGCCGUGAAAGUCCGGGGCUUAACCCCGGAUCUGCGGUGGGUACGGGCAGACUGGAGUGCAGUAGGGGAGACUGGAAUUCCUGGUGUAGCGGUGAAAUGCGCAGAUAUCAGGAGGAACACCGAUGGC
rnacentral:rRNA from 1 species